UUCGGGUUGUAAACCUCUGUCACCGGGGAAGAAACGCUUCAAGUUAAUAGCUUGAAGCCUGACUUAACCCGGAGAGGAAGCAGUGGCUAACUCUGUGCCAGCCAGCCGCGGUAAUACAGAGACUGCAAGCGUUAUUCGGAUUCACUGGGCGUAAAGGGUGCGCAGGCGGCCAAGUGUGUGAGGCGUGAAAGCCCGGGGCUUAACCCCGGAAUUGCACCUCAAACUACUUGGCUAGAGCAUUGGAGAGGGUAGCAGAAUUCAUGGUGUAGCAGUGAAAUGCGUAGAUAUCAUGAGGAAUACCAGAGGCGAAGGCGGCUACCUGGACAAUUGCUGACGCUCAGGCACGAAAGCGUGGGGAGCAAAAGGGAUUAGAUACCCCUGUAGUCCACGCCCUAAACGGUGCACACUAGGUCUUGGCGGAUUCGACCCCACCAGGGCCCAAGCUAACGCGUUAAGUGUGCCGCCUGAGGACUACGGCCGCAAGGCCAAAACUCAAAGGAAUUGACGG
rnacentral:rRNA from 1 species